rnacentral:rRNA from 1 species
UACGUAGGGGGCAAGCGUUGUCCGGAAUUAUUGGGCGUAAAGAGCUCGUAGGCGGUUUGUUACGUCUGCUGUGAAAACCUAGGGCUUAACCCUGGGCUUGCAGUGGAUACGGGCAGACUAGAGGUAGGUAGGGGAGAAUGGAAUUCCUGGUGUAGCGGUGAAAUGCGCAGAUAUCAGGAGGAACACCGGUGGCGAAGGCGGUUCUCUGGGCCUUACCUGACACUGAGGAGCGAAAGCGUGGGGAGCGAACAGG